CAUCAUGAAGCUUUCCAAUCUGCUGGCAGUGCAAAGCAUACUGGGAAGGCAUGGAGGCCUUGGAGGACUUUCAGCUCCCAGUUUCAUCGAUGGAUGCUGCACCUAGCUUAAUCAUCUCUUUCCUGGGCUUGCUGCUGACCCAAGCAGAAGUUCUGGUCAUGUGCUGAUAAUGAGUUUUCUUCCUUUAGGGCACAAGCGAACAAAGAGUGCAUCCAGCAGCCGAAGAACUUUGAUGAUACUCACAUCUGAAUGACUGGAAAUCUAUUUUAAUUGAUUGAAUAGCAGACAGAAAGGGUGACUCUACAGCUGUCUCCUAGUAAAGACUUCAGAGGACCUGGAAGUCCUUUUUGUUUGGAAGAACUUCAGAAGAACCUGGAAGUAGACCAGGCAAUGCUAACACAGUGUACUUUGCCAAGAGAGGACUGCACUGGCAUUGUCACCUAACUUGUUUGGGAAAUCCUGCUAGAGAAGAAAUGUUUCAAAAUGUUGGUGUCCAGUUCUUUGGUACAUCCCUUGAAGUUGUCUCUUGCUGCCAUAUUUCCGUUUGUACAGAAGCCACAGAAGUGCUUCUCUAAUUCUCUGAAGUAUUGUAAUAACAAAUGCAUGCAUGCAUAACAAUUUUCAGAUGUUCAUAUCCUGUUGGCAAGA